rnacentral:rRNA from 1 species
GACGAACGCUGGCGGCGUGCCUAACACAUGCAAGUCGAGCGAUGAAGCCCUUCGGGGUGGAUUAGCGGCGGACGGGUGAGUAACACGUGGGUAACCUGCCUCAAAGAGGGGGAUAGCCUCCCGAAAGGGAGAUUAAUACCGCAUAAUAUUAGAUUUUCGCAUGAAGAACUAAUUAAAGGAGUAAUCCGCUUUGAGAUGGACCCGCGGCGCAUUAGCUAGUUGGUGAGGUAAAGGCUCACCAAGGCGACGAUGCGUAGCCGACCUGAGAGGGUGAUCGGCCACAUUGGAACUGAGACACGGUCCAGACUCCUACGGNNGGCAGCAGUGGGGANUAUUGCACAAUGGGCGAAAGCCUGAUGCAGCAACGCCGNGUGAGUGAUGAAGGCCUUCGGGUUGUAAAGCUCUGUCUUUGGGGACGAUAAUGACGGUACCCAAGGAGGAAGCCACGGCUAACUACGUGCCAGCAGCCGCAGUAAUA